GACGAACGCUGGCGGCGUGCCUAAUACAUGCAAGUCGAACGCUGAAGCGAGGAGCUUGCUCUUCUUGGAUGAGUUGCGAACGGGUGAGUAACGCGUAGGUAACCUGCCUUGUAGCGGGGGAUAACUAUUGGAAACGAUAGCUAAUACCGCAUAACAAUGGAUGACACAUGUCAUUUAUUUGAAAGGGGCAAUUGCUCCACUACAAGAUGGACCUGCGUUGUAUUAGCUAGUAGGUGAGGUAACGGCUCACCUAGGCGACGAUACAUAGCCGACCUGAGAGGGGGAUCGGCCACACUGGGACUGAGACACGGCCCAGACUCCUACGGGAGGCAGCAGUAGGGAAUCUUCGGCAAUGGGGGCAACCCUGACCGAGCAACGCCGCGUGAGUGAAGAAGGUUUUCGGAUCGUAAAGCUCUGUUGUAAGUCAAGAACGAGUGUGAGAGUGGAAAGUUCACACUGUGACGGUAGCUUACCAGAAAGGGACGGCUAACUACGUG
rnacentral:rRNA from 1 species